GUACACGCUGUGACUAGCAUAUCAAUAAGCGGAGGAAAAGAAACUAACAAGGAUUCCCUCAGUAACGGCGAGUGAAGCGGGAAGAGCUCAAAUUUGAAAUCUUCAAGGUUUUACCUUGACGAAUUGUAGUUUCAAAGAAGUGUUUUCUGCUGAAGUUUUGGUAAAAGUUCUUUGGAAUAGGACAUCAUAGAGGGUGAGAAUCCCGUAUUUGACCAUUAUUUUCAGCUUUGUGAUACACUUUCAAAGAGUCGGAUUGUUUGGGAAUGCAGUCCAAAAUGGGUGGUAAAUUUCAUCUAAAGCUAAAUAUUGGCGAGAGACCGAUAGCGAACAAGUACCGUGAGGGAAAGAUGAAAAGAACUUUGAAAAGAGAGUUAAACAGUACGUGAAAUUGUCAAAAGGGAAGCGUUUGACACCAGUGUUGUUUUUCUCGAAAAUCAAUUAAAGAACUGUUUAUGCUAAGCUGUUUAGACUUUAUCAGCUAACUGUUUAGUUUUGAGCCUUUUCUUUAAUGCACUUUUCAGUUAACAAGUCAACAUCAAUUUCUUUUGCUGUAAAAAAGCUUGAGGAAGGUGGCUUGAGAUUCGUCUUAAGUGUUUAUAGCCUCUUGCCUAUGCAGUCGGAGAGACUGAGGUCUGCAGCGUAGAUCCUUCGGGGCUAAAUGCAUUUGUGCUAAGUUAUAGCAUUUUAUAGACAACUUGUUGACUAUGAUUUGUCUUGUAGCUUACUCGCUUAUGUUAUUUUACCUACGCUUAGGAUGUUGACGCAUGAGAUAUACGC
rnacentral:rRNA from 1 species